CUCACUAUGGGCCAGGAACGGCAGUCCCUCCUCAACUCCCUCCACCCCCACACCAGCCCUCAACGUGCAGUGAAUAGAGGAGCUUUGUGCUGUGAGGAAAAACAUGGUGACACGGUCUGCCACGGACACUGAGGUCACCAAACACGCAAUCAGUGUUUCAAUCGGCGGUGGAUCGGGCAACGAGGAGAUGUGUUCCGCCUCCAUCCACACAAAUAGAGUAAUAGGAGAAAUAAGCAUUAAACAAUCUUUUUAUUGAA